GUGUGUCUGUGAGGGUGUUGCCGAAGAAGAUGAACACUUGAGACAAUGGACUGGGAGAGGCAGAGCCACCCUCCCUCUGGGUGGGCACCCAGCUGCCAGCGCAGCUGCAAGCGCAGCUAGAAUCAGCUUCCAGCACAGCUAGAGUAAAGCAGGCAGAGGAACGCGGAAGGGUUAGACUGCCUGAGUCUCCCGACCUUCGUCUUUCCCCUGUGCCGGAUGCUUCCUGCCCUCAAACAUCGGACUCCAGGUUCUUCAGCUUUUGGACUCUUGGACUCACACCAGGGGUUUGCCAGGGGCUCUCGGGCCUUUGGCCACAGACUGAAGGCUGCGCUAUCGGCGUCCCUACUUUUGGGGAUUGGGACUUGUACUGGCUUCCUUGCUCCUCGGCUUGCAAACAGCCUACUGUGGGACCUCACCCUGUGAUCAUGUACAUCAGGGAAAGGUGCGUCCCUCCCAGUGAAGCUGGAAGGUUGAAGUCCUGACACCUCCCGCGGUCUGAGCAGCUGCGCGAUGAACUGGAUAGUGCUGGAAUGUGGGACAACGGAGGCAGACUCAGAAGUCGGAACAUUGUUUCAGGAUCACACAGAAAGAGACAUGAUUUUCAUAGACAGGGUCUUGCUCUGUCUGUCUCCCAGGUCAUGGUGCAGUGGUGUGAUGUCAGCUCACUGUAGCCUCAACCUUCUGGGAUCAAGCAAUCCUCCCUCUUCAGCCUCCACAGUAGCUGAGUCUAUAGGUGCAUAUGGCCAUGUCUGGGACUUUCUGUAUUUUUGAUAGAGAUGGGGUUUCACCACGUUGCCAAGGCUGUUCUCAAACUUCUGGACUCAAGCAAUCCUCCCACCUUGGCCUCCCAAAGUUCUGGGACUACAGGCAUGAGCCACAGCGCCCGGCCAAUCAUCGAUUACUUUCUUCGAUUAUCUUACUACUGUGAGCUUCUUGAGGGAGUACCUGUAUGUCAGUGGACAGACCCAAAGGUGCGGGGUGGUGCCACACCAUUCACGAGAACUUUCACCCUCAUAAUCCAGUCACCUCCCACCAGGCUCCACUUCCAACUCCGGAGAUUACAAUUUGGCGUGAGACUUGUUGGGGACACAGAGCCAACCCGUAUCCUUAGGACACACAACAUGGCAUCUUCGCAUGGGAACUGGCUGCAUUUGGGCAACAUUCUGUAA
rnacentral:lncRNA from 13 species